rnacentral:rRNA from 1 species
UACGUAGGGUGCAAGCGUUGUCCGGAAUUAUUGGGCGUAAAGAGCUCGUAGGCGGUUUGUCGCGUCUGCUGUGAAAACUCGGGGCUUAACUCCGGGCCUGCAGUCGAUACGGGCAGACUGGAGUUCGGCAGGGGAGACUGGAAUUCCUGGUGUAGCGGUGGAAUGCGCAGAUAUCAGGAGGAACACCGGUGGCGAAGGCGGGUCUCUGGGCCGUUACUGACGCUGAGGAGCGAAAGCGUGGGAGCGCACAGG